GACGAACGCUGGCGGCGUGCUUAACACAUGCAAGUCGAACGGAAAGGCCCUGCUCUUGUGGGGUGCUCGAGUGGCGAACGGGUGAGUAACACGUGAGUAACCUGCCCUUGACUUUGGGAUAACUUCUGGAAACUGGGGCUAAUACCGGAUAGGAGCUCCUGCUGCAUGGUGGGGGUUGGAAAGUUUCGGCGGUUGGGGAUGGACUCGCGGCUUAUCAGCUUGUUGGUGGGGUAGUGGCUUACCAAGGCUUUGACGGGUAGCCGGCCUGAGCGGGUGACCGGCCACAUUGGGACUGAGAUACGGCCCAGACUCCUACGGGAGGCAGCAGUGGGGAAUAUUGCACAAUGGGCGGAAGCCUGAUGCAGCAACGCCGCGUGCGGGAUGACGGCCUUCGGGUUGUAAACCGCUUUCGCCUGUGACGAAGCGUGAGUGACGGUAAUGGGUAAAGAAGCACCGGCUAACUACGUG
rnacentral:rRNA from 1 species